rnacentral:lncRNA from 1 species
CCUGCAUCAACGAGCCCGGUCACUGGCAUGAUAAGUGCCAAAGUCCAAGUUGCCUCAGUGUGAGUCAAAACCAGUGAUCACCGAAACCACCCCCAGCUCCAGGAUCCCAUCCUUGAUGUGUAGAUUGGAGAACUCCAGCAGCACGAAAGGUUGCAAACACCAUCAUCACCGUGGUAUUGGAGAACUCCUGCAGCACGAAAGGUUGCAAACACCAUAAGGUGAUGUCGCAUGUGACGACCCAGGCACACUUUGUUGUCGUGCAACCCCUUGUUGAGCAUAUUUAUGGACUCCACUGGCAUCUUGCAUUCUCGGUGCCAGAGACCCUGCUCCAGCUCCUCCACUACCAU